GAGCCAGCCAAUUGGUCUACUUGUCUGAAUGCAUUUCUGCGGACAUUUAGAAAAAGCUGGUAGUGCUAGCACCAUGUUUCUAGCCUUAAUGGCAAGUAAAGUAUUUAAGGUCCUCAAAAUUGGCUAUAAUA